rnacentral:misc_RNA from 1 species
CUGAUGAGGCUGCCAGAGCUAGGUCAGUCCUAUUUCUGCACUUAUUAAAAUGAGUAGAUCCAGGAGUCUUUUUCUUUUGCAUGAGGUAAAAUCUGUUUUGUUUACCAUAGGAUAAAAUACAAUUAUACUGUGAAGAAUCUAUGUUAGAUGCACAAUAACAUGUUUAUGCUAGUACAGGUACACAAAACACUGCAGCCUUGUUAAAUAGUCUGCUAUUUAUGAUCUGAAGCACUACCUAUUUUCUUGCAGGUAUCAAAAACGGAUGUUCAAUAUCAUUGAUGAUGUUCUUGAGUGG